UAACGGCGAGUGAAGCGGUAAGAGCUCAAAUUUGAAAGCUGGCUCCUUCGGGGUCCGCAUUGUAAUUUGCAGAGGAUGUUUCGGGAGCAGCCCCCAUCUAAGUGUCCUGGAACGGACCGUCAUAGAGGGUGAGAAUCCCGUAUGGGAUGGGGUGUCUGCGCCCAUGUGAAACUCCUUCGACGAGUCGAGUUGUUUGGGAAUGCAGCUCUAAAUGGGUGGUAAAUUUCAUCUAAAGCUAAAUAUUGGCCGGAGACCGAUAGCGCACAAGUAGAGUGAUCGAAAGAUGAAAAGCACUUUGAAAAGAGAGUUAAAAAGCACGUGAAAUUGUUGAAAGGGAAGCGCUUGCGAUCAGACUCGCCUUGGGGGUUCAGCCGGCAUUCGUGCCGGUGUACUUCCCCCAGGGCGGGCCAGCGUCGGUUUGGGUGGCUGGUCAAAGGCCCUUGGAAUGUAACGCCUCUCGGGGCGUCUUAUAGCCAAGGGUGCCAUGCAGCCUACCUGGACCGAGGAACGCGCUUCGGCUCGGACGCUGGCAUAAUGGUCGUAAGCGAC
rnacentral:rRNA from 1 species